CAGUCGCCACGGGAAUACAGAGGGUGCGAGCGUUAAUCGGAUUUACUGGGCGUAAAGCGUGCGUAGGCGGCUUCUUAAGUCGGAUGUGAAAUCCCUGAGCUUAACUUAGGAAUUGCAUUCGAUACUGGGAAGCUAGAGUAUGGGAGAGGAUGGUAGAAUUCCAGGUGUAGCGGUGAAAUGCGUAGAGAUCUGGAGGAAUACCGAUGGCGAAGGCAGCCAUCUGGCUUAAUACUGACGCUGAGGUACGAAAGCAUGGGGAGCAAACAGGAUUAGAUACCCCUGUAGUCCCUGUCUCUUAUAC
rnacentral:rRNA from 1 species